rnacentral:rRNA from 1 species
CGUACACUCCUGCGGGAGGCAGCAGUGGGGAAUAUUGGACAAUGGGCGCAAGCCUGAUCCAGCCAUGCCGCGUGAGUGAUGAAGGCCCUAGGGUUGUAAAGCUCUUUCACCGGUGAAGAUAAUGACGGUAACCGGAGAAGAAGCCCCGGCUAACUUCGUGCCAGCAGCCGCGGUAAUACGAAGGGGGCUAGCGUUGUUCGGAUUUACUGGGCGUAAAGCGCACGUAGGCGGACUAUUAAGUCAGGGGUGAAAUCCCGGGGCUCAACCCCGGAACUGCCUUUGAUACUGGUAGUCUUGAGUUCGAGAGAGGUGAGUGGAAUUCCGAGUGUAGAGGUGAAAUUCGUAGAUAUUCGGAGGAACACCAGUGGCGAAGGCGGCUCACUGGCUCGAUACUGACGCUGAGGUGCGAAAGCGUGGGGAGCAAACAGGAUUAGAAACCCCAGUAGUCC